GGUGGCUGCAGUGGUUAUGCGUUCAGCUCCUAAUUGAAAGGUCGGUGGUUCGAACCCACCAGCCGCUC
rnacentral:tRNA from 1 species